AGGCGCGAAAACUUUACCAUGCGGGCAACCGUGAUAAGGAAACCCCGAGUGCCAGCACAGGCUGGCUGUCCGCCAGUGUAAAUAACUGGUGAAGAAAGGGCCGGGCAAGACCGGUGCCAGCCGCCGCGGUAAUACCGGCGGCUCGAGUGGUGGCCACUAUUACUGGGCUUAAAGGGUCCGUAGCUUGAUAUGCAAGUCUCUUGAGAAAUCCGCCAGCUUAACUGGUGGGCGUUCAGGGGAAACUGCAUUUCUAGGGACCGGGAGAGGUGAGAGGUACUGCCGGGGUAGGAGUGAAAUCCUGUAAUCCCGGUGGGACCACCUAUGGCGAAGGCAUCUCACCAGAACGGGUCCGACAGUGAGGGACGAAAGCUGGGGGAGCAAACCGGAUUAGAUACCCGGGUAGUCCCAGCUGUAAACGAUGCGCGUUAGGUGUGUCAGUGACCACGUGUCACUGAGGUGCCGAAGGGAAACCGUG
rnacentral:rRNA from 1 species